rnacentral:rRNA from 1 species
GAGUUUGAUCCUGGCUCAGAUUGAACGCUGGCGGCAUGCCUAACACAUGCAAGUCGAACGGCAGCACAGGUAGCAAUACCGGGUGGCGAGUGGCGGACGGGUGAGUAAAGCAUCGGGAUCUACCCUGACGUGGGGGAUAACCUCGGGAAACCGGGACUAAUACCGCAUACGUCCUACGGGAGAAAGCGGGGGACCUUCGGGCCUCGCGCGGCAGGACGAACCGAUGUGCGAUUAGCUAGUUGGCGGGGUAACGGCCCACCAAGGCGACGAUCGCUAGCUGGUCUGAGAGGAUGAUCAGCCACACUGGGACUGAGACACGGCCCAGACUCCUACGGGAGGCAGCAGUGGGGAAUAUUGGACAAUGGGCGCAAGCCUGAUCCAGCAAUGCCGCGUGUGUGAAGAAGGCCUUCGGGUUGUAAAGCACUCUUAUCAGGAGCGAAAUACCACGGGUU